rnacentral:lncRNA from 1 species
GCAGGAAUUAACAAGGGCUCGCUCAGCCUCAGAGAGCUCCACAGCAUCCCUGGAGGAAGGCAGCCAGACAUCCUCAGACAGCACUGCUGAGGAGCCGGAGGGGACGUCGGAGGACAAGAGCUCUGGAUUCCGAUGGUUCGGCUGGUUUCGGUCCAAGCCCCAGAAGGAAACCUCUCCCAAAGUCACGACCUCAGGCUCCCCCACGCCAGGACUGCAGAAGGGAAGAUCCUAGACUGGCUCUUCAGGAUCUGGAUCCUGGGCUGUCCCUUCAUCUUCUGUCCUUCUGAGGAGCAAGUAAUGCUGGGAUGGAUGGUUACAAGUUUUGGCACAUGCUGCCCAGGAAGGUGGAGGAGUCACCAUCCCUGGAGGUGUAGAAGAACCAUGGAGAUGUGGC